GAUGAAGAACGUAGCGAAAUGCGAUAAGUAGUGUGAAUUGCAGAAUUCAGUGAAUCAUCGAAUCUUUGAACGCACAUUGCGCCCCCUGGUAUUCCGGGGGGCAUGCCUGUCCGAGCGUCAUUACAACCCUCAAGCUCAGCUUGGUGUUGGGCCCCGCCGCCCCGGCGGGCCCUAAAGUCAGUGGCGGUGCCGUCCGGCUCCGAGCGUAGUAAUUCUUCUCGCUCUGGAGGUCCGGUCGUGUGCUCGCCAGCAACCCCCAAUUUUUUUCAGGUUGACCUCGGAUCAGGUAGGGAUACCCGCUGAACUUAAGCAUAUCAAUAAGCGGAGGA
rnacentral:misc_RNA from 1 species